rnacentral:lncRNA from 1 species
CUUAAGUAAACUUCUUAUCUAGGUUCACAGGGCAAGACCACAUCUAAUAUGGUUCAUAUGUUUUGUGGAAACAUGUAUUUUUAUUCAGAAUAGCUAUGUGGAAAAGGAAAGAUAAAAUGAAUCCCAAGGGCAUCUUAAACACACUAAAGAUAUAUUACAGGCCACAUAGUUCAACUCAAGAGUGUUUUGGCAAGCAGAAAGUGGCAGACAAAUUGUAAGUCCAGCAAUGUAUAUAAAAACCUAUGAAACAUGUCUAUGGAUAGAAUUCAAUGAUGCAAUUACUUGGGAAAGCUUGAAUAAACAUGUUAAGUAGUCAGCAUUUAUCAAAUACCCUUUGCUAGGCAUUGGGGAGAAGGAAAACAAGAGUUACCAUGAGGCAGAGUAAGAGGUCAGCAUAAUCUGUGAGUGAGGGUGAAAUCACCACGCAAAGACAUCUGAGGGUACUGUCAUUUUGAAUAAGGUUAAAGCUGUCAAACUAGUUAUAAAGAAUGACUUUGAGCCAGGUGGUACUCAAUGAGAGUGGAGGUACCUGUUCCUGUAACCGUAAAACUAUUUAAACAUACUAAAACUAUAGAAGUAAAUCAGAUGUUUUAAAAUGGUUAUACACCUCCCACUCUUCGGUCUCCUGUUACAGGCAGUCCAAGGAAACCAUUAGCAAUCGUAAGUCUUUCCACAUUUAAUCAUUCAAAUACUACCUUGAUGCACCAUCUUUAAUAUUUAUAUAAGAAAUAUUUUAAAGACUUGCUCACUGUUUCACUAAUGUCAAUAAGGUUUCUAUAAUUUGUAUAAAUGAACAACUAAUAUCGCUAGUCAUAAAUACUCGAUAAUCUUACUUAAAAGUAAAAACAAAUGAAACGUUGUUAAGGUCUAGCUAGACACUGUGGAUUGUUGAAGGCUGUAAUUCUGAGGCAUACUCUCUUUUUGUCAACACAGAUAUAAAAAAAUGCCCGUAUCCAUUUACUUAGAAAUUAUACAAUUAGGAAUGUGGCCUGAAGAUUUGUUUAUGACUGUGUCAAAUGACCUUAUGUACAAGGUGAUUUGUUGAAGCAUUGUUUGAUGUAGCAAAAGACUACAAUAAAAUAAAUACUCCUCAAUAAUGAUUAGCAAAAGUUACUGUGCAUUCAUAUAUAUAUGAAUAUAUAUAUAUUUAUGACAAGGUUUUGCUCUGUUGCACAGGCUGGAGUGCAGUAGCAUGAUCAUGGCUCACUGCUGCCUCGACCUCCCGGGCUCAGAGAUUCUCUUGCCUCAGCCUCCUGAGUAGCUGGGACCACAGGUGUGUGCCACUAUGCCUGGCUAAUUUAUUUUUAUUUUUUGUAGAGACAGAGUCUCCCGGUGUUGCCCAGGCUGAUCUCGAACUCCUGGGCUCAAGCAAUCCUCCCAUAGUGGUCCUUCCAAAGUACUGGGACUACAGGUGUGAGCCACUGCACUCGGUCCAUAGAAUAGAAUAGAGCUGCUAAAACUCCAUGGCCGGUUUCAUGGGAAGUGGAUCGUUAUAUGAGAAAAGUUUCAUUUGUAGGACACAUUCACACACACAAUUUUUUUUUUUUUGGUGUAUUUUUUUUUUUUUUUUUUGAGAUGGAGUCUCACUCUGUCACCCAGGCUGGAGUGCAGUGGCACAAUCUUGGCUCACUGCAAACUCCACCUCCUGGGUUCAAGGGAUUCUCUUGCCUUAGCCUCCUGAGUAGCUGGUAUUACAGGCACGCACCACCACACCCAGCUAAUUUUUUGUAUUUUUAGUAAUGAUGGGGUUUCACCAUGUUGGCCAGGCUGGUCUUGAACUCCUGACCCCAAGUAAUCUGCUGGCCUCGGCCUCCCAAAGUGCUGGGAUCACAGACGUGAGCCACUGUACCCGGCCCAAACACACAUAUAUAUUUAUUUAUUAUACAUAUGGAAUAUCUCUGGAAGUGUUUAUAAGAAAAUAGUGACAGUGGUUGUCUCUGUGUGGGGAAGAGGGUGGGUGGAUGGCUGAAAGUAGAGCAGUCCUUACUUUUCACUGGUUAUCCUUUUGGACUCUGAAUCAUGGAAUGGUAUUUAAAAGCAUAGGCAAGCUUGCCUGGGUUCAAAUCCUUGCUCUGGUGCUUACCAGUUUGUGGCCUUGAGCUGGUUACUGAAUUUCUCUGAGUCUCAGUGUUUUAAUUUCUACCAUGGGAAUAUUAAUUGUACUUAACUUACAGAGUUAUAAAGAAGAUGAGAUAAAAUAUGUGAAAAGUUUUUUAAAUAGCUCAUGGCACAAAGGAAGGCUAUAUAAACCUUUGCCAUUAUUUUAAAUUAUAGUUCCAUGUGCUUAUUUGAUCAAUGCAAAAAUAAAUAAGAAGAGUUUUCUGUAGCCAGAAUUAACAAUUAUGGCCUUCAGAAUGAAUGGAAUACGACUAAAAUAAGAAUAGCAAUCUCAUUCUUUAUUUAAUGUCAGUUCUGUAUAACACAUCACAUUUUAAAUCAUCUUUGCUUUUUUUUUUUUUAAGUCACCACUUCCAGAAACUCUGUAUAGGGGACUCAUAUGAACUGAAUACCCCAUUCUGCACAGAUCAGUCCUUUGCUCCAUUUCUGAAAACCUGACUGUGAUCAUUUCUGAGUUUUGUUCAGCUUCUUACUUUCGUUUUUUGUCAGCUAGCAUCCUCCACUCUUCCCCCUCCCCUCCCCUCCCUUCCCCUCCCUUCCCCAGUUUCGCUCUUGUUGCCCAGGCUGGAGUGCAAUGGCGCGAUCUCUGCUCACCGCAACCUCCGCCUCCUAGGUUAAAGCGAUUUUCCUGCCUCAGCCUCCUGAGUAGCUGGGAUUACAGGCUUGUGCCACCAUGUCUGGCUAAUUUUGUAUUUUUAGUAGAGAUGGGUUUUUUCCAUGUUGGUCAGGCUGGUCUCGAACUCCAGACCUCAGGCAAUCCGCCCACCUCGGCCUCUCAUAGUGCUGGGAUUACAGGCGUGAGCCACCGUGCCCAGCCUGCAGCCUCCAUAUUUUCUGGCCCAGUGAUUUUCACCCUUAGGAUUAGGACCAACUGGAAGCUCUUGAAAUGAACUAAGUGGUUUAAAAAAAAUAAAUGAAACAGAACAGAACAGAAAAAAAUAAAAUAGAAAAUAAUCAGAGUGUUUACCUCAUAGUAAAGGUAAGUAUCAUUUUAUGAAACUCUCUCUUCCCCACCCCCUAAAAAAGUCUGAAAGCUGUUAUCUGUUUCUGAAAAUCCAGUAACAAUUCCUUGAUGUCUGGAGGGAUGAUUGUCUCUAGCAUUGUGUGUUUGAGGACAAAAGUCAGAUCAAACUAGGAACUGCCAGGAAAAAGUUCAAAUCACCAGGACCAAAGCCGUCUAAGUUCCAGAAUAAUCCUAGCUGUCUGUGGACUCUAACAGCCUCAGGUGAAAAUGGACGGACUGGAAGCACAUUUAGAACUUAUUAACCAGAAGUUUGGCUCUAUGACUAGGAAAUAAGAAGAUAAAGUCCCAGAGACUAUGUACAAUCGACUGGUUCACUUCUGAAAUGGGAACAUGCCACAUAGCCCACAUGUUCUCCUUGUGCAAGUCAGGUUUAAUAUAGCAGCCUUUUUUUUGUUACCUUCUAUGGAUUAUCAAAAUAUCAGCCAAUAUUAACAUUUCUUAUAUAUUUUGAAUGCUUAAAAAUCUAGAUACAACAGAGCCCUCAGAAAUAACGCCGCAUAUCUACAACUAUCUGAUCUUUGACAAACCUGAGAAAAACAAGCAAUG